rnacentral:rRNA from 1 species
GUCCGGAACUGCCCAGAGAUGGCGGUGCCUUCGGGAAUCGGAACACAGGUGCUGCAUGGCUGUCGUCAGCUCGUGUCGUGAGAUGUUGGGUUAAGUCCCGCAACGAGCGCAACCCUUGUCCUUAGUUGCCAGCACGUAAUGGUGGGAACUCUAAGGAGACUGCCGGUGACAAACCGGAGGAAGGUGGGGAUGACGUCAAGUCACCAUGGCCCUUACGGCCAGGGCUACACACGUACUACAAUGGGAGGUACAGAGGGAAGCAAUGCCGCGAGGCGGAGCCAAUCCCAGAAAACCUCUCUCAGUCCGGAUCGCAGUCUGCAACUCGACUGCGUGAAGUCGGAAUCGCUAGUAAUCGCGAAUCAGCAUUGUCGCGGUGAAUACGUUCCCGGGCCUUGUACACACCGCCCGUCACACCAUGGGAGUUGGUUGCUCCAGAAGCAGGUAGCCUAACCGCAAGGAGGGCGCUUGCCACGGAGUGGUCAAUGACUGGGGUGAAGUCGUAACAAGGUAGGCGUAGCGAG